rnacentral:lncRNA from 1 species
CGACCCGGCCCCACACCCGCCCGCCCGCCCGCGCGCACCCGCCAGUGGCCUCGCGUCCGCUGCUGCGCUCGGUAGCGCAGCUGGUCGGAGGGAAGAGCUAGCCGGGCGGCGGGGAAGGACGGGGCGGCGGGGCGCCUUCGUGGAGUGAGCCUGACGGAGCCGGAGGCUUGGAGCCGCGGCGGCCUCGGGGAAUAUUUGGAUUGUGAACUGUUUCAGAACUUUGUUCUCAGGACCUAUUAUUUUAACAUUUGGGAGAAACACAUCCAGAAGAUGCACAGUUGACUGAAGGAGGACCUGAGAAGGCUUCAGAUGACAUCAGAGGUGCUUUUCAACAGCCUUCUUGAUUUCCUUUCUCAGAAAGCAGAGGCUCAAACCUUGGAGACAGACGUUCACUGGAGUCCUCCUCUUAAGCUCCCAACUACCUYGUCUGUAUCUCUGUGUUGUGGGUGCCAUGGCAAGACCUGUGGCAAGCCAUCACUGCUGUAGGGAGUGAACACGUCAGACCUGGACACAACAAAGCUGGAUCUCUGAUUAACAGUAACUUCUUCAGUUAAACUGAGUUUAUUACUUGAAACACUUGGUUAUAUACACAGGUGAGCAAAAGAGAGGUCAGGGGAAAGUGUGCAUGAAAAUUUCUUAAAUAUAUGUGAAACCAUUUAAAG